GAUCGCGGCGACGUGUGCGGUUCUCUGCCCGCGACGUCAUGAGAAGUCCACUGAACCUUAUCAUUUAGAGGAAGGAGAAGUCGUAACAAGGUUUCCGUAGGUGAACCUGCGGAAGGAUCAUUG
rnacentral:rRNA from 1 species